rnacentral:rRNA from 1 species
GAUGAACGCUGGCGGCGUGCCUAAUACAUGCAAGUCGAGCGAACAGACGAGGAGCUUGCUCCUCUGACGUUAGCGGCGGACGGGUGAGUGACACGUGGAUAACCUACCUAUAAGACUGGGAUAACUUCGGGAAACCGGAGCUAAUACCGGAUAAUAUAUUGAACCGCAUGGUUCAAUAGUGAAAGACGGUUUUGCUGUCACUUAUAGAUGGAUCCGCGCCGCAUUAGCUAGUUGGUAAGGUAACGGCUUACCAAGGCGACGAUGCGUAGCCGACCUGAGAGGGUGAUCGGCCACACUGGAACUGAGACACGGUCCAGACUCCUACGGGAGGCAGCAGUAGGGAAUCUUCCGCAAUGGGCGAAAGCCUGGCGGAGCAACGCCGCGUGAGUGAUGAAGGUCUUCGGAUCGUAAAACUCUGUUAUUAGGGAAGAACAAAUGUGUAAGUAACUAUGCACGUCUUGACGGUACCUAAUCAGAAAGCCACGGCUAACUACGUG